rnacentral:tRNA from 1 species
UCCCUGACAGUUCAGUGGUUAAGACACCCCACUCUCAAUGCAGAGGGACCAGGUUAGAUCCUUGGUCAGGGAG